CAAGUCGUACGGCGUAGCAAUACACAGUGGCGAACGGGUGAGUAAUGAAUCGCUAAUGUACCCCGGACUCUGGGAUAGCUUUCCGAAAGGAAAGGUAAUACCAGAUGAGACCACGGAAAGGCAUCUUUCUGUGCUCAAAGGUCCGCCGGUCUGGGAGCAGGCGAUUUCGUAUCAGCUAGUUGGUGAGGUAACGGCUCACCAAGGCGACGACGCGUAGCCGGACUGAGAGGUUGGCCGGCCACAUUGGGACUGAGACACUGCCCAGACUCCUACGGGGGGCUGCAGUAACGAAUCUUCCGCAAUGCACGAAAGUGUGACGGAGCGACGCCGCGUGGAGGACGAAGUUCUUCGGAAUGUAAACUCCUGUCAGGGGAAAGAAAGUUCUGAUCUACCCCAGAGGAAGGGGCGGCUAACUCUGUGCCAGCAGCCGCGGUAAUACAGAGGCCCCAAGCGUUAGGCGGAAUCACUGGGCUUAAAGCGUGUGUAGGCGGACUUCUAAGUACCUUGUGAAAUCCCACGGCUUAACCGUGGAACUGCUUGGUAUACUGGUCGUCUUGAGCCACUUAGGGGUUACCGGAACAAAUGGUGGAGCGGUGAAAUGCGUAGAUAUCAUUUGGAACGCCAAUGGUGAAAACAGGUAACUGGGAGUGUGCUGACGCUGAGACACGAAAGCCAGGGGAGCGAACGGGAUUAGAUACCCCGGUAGUCCUGGCCCUAAACGAUGUCCACUAGAUCGUAGAACCUCUGACGGUUUUAUGGUCGAAGCAAAAGUGCUAAGUGGACCGCCUGGGAAGUACGGUCGCAAGGC
rnacentral:rRNA from 1 species